AUUGAACGCUGGCGGCAGGCCUAACACAUGCAAGUCGAGCGGGGUGAUGGUGCUUGCACUAUCACUUAGCGGCGGACGGGUGAGUAAUGCUUAGGAAUCUGCCUAUUAGUGGGGGACAACAUCUCGAAAGGGAUGCUAAUACCGCAUACGUCCUACGGGAGAAAGCAGGGGAUCACUUGUGACCUUGCGCUAAUAGAUGAGCCUAAGUCGGAUUAGCUAGUUGGUGGGGUAAAGGCCUACCAAGGCGACGAUCUGUAGCGGGUCUGAGAAGAUGAUCCGCCACACUGGGACUGAGACACGGCCCAGACUCCUACGGGAGGUAGCAGUGGGGAAUAUUGGACAAUGGGGGGAACCCUGAUCCAGCCAUGCCGCGUGUGUGAAGAAGGCCUUAUGGUUGUAAAGCACUUUAAGCGAGGAGGAGGCUCUUUUGGUUAAUACCCAAGAUGAGUGGACGUUACUCGCAGAAUAAGCACCGGCUAACUCUGUGCCAGCCGCCGCCGUAA
rnacentral:rRNA from 1 species